rnacentral:rRNA from 1 species
GAGUUUGAUCAUGGCUCAGGAUGAACGCUGGCGGCGUGCUUAACACAUGCAAGUCGAACGGACUCAUAUUGAAACCUAGUGAUGUAUGAGUUAGUGGCGGACGGGUGAGUAACGCGUGGAGAACCUGCCGUAUACUGGGGGAUAACACUUAGAAAUAGGUGCUAAUACCGCAUAAGCGCACAGCUUCGCAUGAAGCAGUGUGAAAAAUUCCGGUGGUAUACGAUGGAUCCGCGUCUGAUUAGCUAGUUGGCGGGGUAAAGGCCCACCAAGGCGACGAUCAGUAGCCGGCCUGAGAGGGUGAACGGCCACAUUGGGACUGAGACACGGCCCAAACUCCUACGGGAGGCAGCAGUGGGGAAUAUUGCACAAUGGGGGGAACCCUGAUGCAGCGACGCCGCGUGAGUGAAGAAGUAUUUCGGUAUGUAAAGCUCUAUCAGCAGGGAAGAAAUAAAGUCCUUUGGACUUUGGACGGUACCUGACUAAGAAGCCCCGGCUAACUACGUGCCAGCAGCCGCGGUAAUACGUAGGGGGCAAGCGUUAUCCGGAUUUACUGGGUGUAAAGGGAGCGUAGACGGCAGCGCAAGUCUGGAGUGAAAUCCCAUGGCUUAACCAUGGAACUGCUUUGGAAACUGUGCAGCUAGAGUGCAGGAGAGGUAAGCGGAAUUCCUAGUGUAGCGGUGAAAUGCGUAGAUAUUAGGAGGAACACCAGUGGCGAAGGCGGCUUACUGGACUGUAACUGACGUUGAGGCUCGAAAGCGUGGGGAGCAAACAGGAUUAGAUACCCUGGUAGUCCACGCUGUAAACGAUGAUUACUAGGUGUUGGGGGACCAAGGUCCUUCGGUGCCGGCGCAAACGCAUUAAGUAAUCCACCUGGGGAGUACGUUCGCAAGAAUGAAACUCAAAGGAAUUGACGG